GUGUCUUGACCAAAUUACGUGCCAGCUGUCGCGGUAAGACGUAGGAGACUAGUGUUAUUCAUCUUUAAUAGGUUUAAAGCGUACCUAGACGGUAAUUAAAGCCUACAUCAGGUACUUGUUUACUAGAGUUAAAUGUAAGGGUGUAUUAAAGUACUGUUGAGUGUAGAGAUGAAAUUCGUUGAUACCAAAUAAUUGGCACAGGUAUAGGCGAAAGCAUCACUUUAUGUAAUAACUGACGUUGACGGACGAAGGCUUUGUGUCGCGAACAGGAUUAGAUACCCCAGUAGUCUUAGCAGAAAAUUAUGAGUGUCAUAGGUUAGAUUAUAUCUGGUCUAUAAAUGAAAGUGUAAGCACUCCACCUCAAGAGUAAUUUGGCAACAUUGGAACUGAAAUCAUUAGACCGUUUCUGAAACCAGUAGUGAAGUAUGUUGUUUAAUUUGAUGAUCCGCAAAGAACCUUACCACAAUUUGAAUAUAAAUGAUUUAUUUUUACAAGCGUUGCACGGCUGUCUUCAGUUAAUGUCGUGAGAUAUUGGUUUAUUCCAUUAAAUUAACGUAAACCCGUACUUUAUUUUUAUAUAAAGUUUUUCAUUCGCUAUAAUGGAUGUGAUAACAGGGACUAAGACAAGUCAUCAUGGCCUAAAUAUUG
rnacentral:rRNA from 1 species